UACAGAGGGGGCAAGCGUUGUUCGGAAUUACUGGGCGUAAAGAGCGCGCAGGCGGUCGUACAAGUCGCGUGUGAAAGCCCCUGGCUCAACUGGGGAGGGUCACGCGAUACUGUUCGACUCGAAGGCAGGAGAGGGAAGUGGAAUUCCCGGUGUAGCGGUGAAAUGCGCAGAUAUCAGGAGGAACACCGGUGGCGAAGGCGGUUCUCUGGGCAUUACCUGACGCUGAGGAGCGAAAGUGUGGGGAGCGAACAGG
rnacentral:rRNA from 1 species